AGUGAACGCUGGCGGUAUGCCUAACACAUGCAAGUCGAACGGCAGCACAGUAAGAGCUUGCUCUUACGGGUGGCGAGUGGCGGACGGGUGAGGAAUACAUCGGAAUCUACUUUUUCGUGGGGGAUAACGUAGGGAAACUUACGCUAAUACCGCAUACGACCUACGGGUGAAAGCAGGGGAUCUUCGGAACUUGCGCGAUUGAAUGAGCCGAUGUCGGAUUAGCUAGUUGGCGGGGUAAAGGCCCACCAAGGCGACGAUCCGUAGCUGGUCUGAGAGGAUGAUCAGCCACACUGGAACUGAGACACGGUCCAGACUCCUACGGGAGGCAGCAGUGGGGAAUAUUGGACAAUGGGCGCAAGCCUGAUCCAGCCAUACCGCGUGGGUGAAGAAGGCCUUCGGGUUGUAAAGCCCUUUUGUUGGGAAAGAAAAGCAGCAGGUUAAUACCCCGCUGUUCUGACGGUACCCAAAGAAUAAGCACCGGCUAACUUCGUG
rnacentral:rRNA from 1 species